UUUAGGGUUUACGUUUAGGGUUUAGAGUUGAUCUUUUAGGGUUUAGAUUUGAAGGUUUAGGGUUUUAGGGUUUAGGGUUUUAGGGUUUAGGGUUUAUGUUUAGGGUUUAGAGUUGAUGUUUUAGGGUUUUGAUUUGAAGGUUUAGGGUUUAGGGUUUAGAGUUGAUGUUUCGGGGUUUAGAGUUUAGAGUUGAUGUUUCAUGGUUUAGGGUUUAGGGUUUAGAGUUGAUGAUUUAGGGUUUGGAGUUGAUGUUUUAAGUUCAGAUUUAGGGUUUAGAGUUUACGUUUAGGGUUUAGAGUUGAUGUUUUAGGGUUUAGGGUUUAGAGUUGAUGUUUCAGGGUUUAGGGUUUAGAGUUGAUGUUUUAAGUUUAGAUUAGUUAACCGUAUGUUUUUUUUGUCAAAAGUAAUCAAA
rnacentral:lncRNA from 1 species